GAUUACAGUGUCAAAAGUCUUAUCGCCCGGAAUGCGUGCAUUCCGGCGCGGGAAAGACUUUAUGACACGCCCGCGCAUGAGCAUGAAGAGGUGCAAAGGCGCCUCGGAAAUGCGAAUGAGCGGAGGCUUGUGAGAGUGCGGAGCACGGAGCAAGCCGUAA
rnacentral:sRNA from 1 species